UCCUACGGGAGGCAGCAGUGGGGAAUCUUGGACAAUGGGCGCAAGCCUGAUCCAGCCAUGCCGCGUGAGUGAUGAAGGCCUUAGGGUCGUAAAGCUCUUUCGCCAGGGAUGAUAAUGACAGUACCUGGUAAAGAAACCCCGGCUAACUCCGUGCCAGCAGCCGCGGUAAUACGGAGGGGGUUAGCGUUGUUCGGAAUUACUGGGCGUAAAGCGCGCGUAGGCGGGUUGUUAAGUUAGAGGUGAAAUCCCAGGGCUCAACCCUGGAACUGCCUUUAAUACUGGCAACCUAGAGUUCGAGAGAGGUGAGUGGAAUUCCGAGUGUAGAGGUGAAAUUCGUAGAUAUUCGGAGGAACACCAGUGGCGAAGGCGGCUCACUGGCUCGAUACUGACGCUGAGGUGCGAAAGUGUGGGGAGCAAACAGGAUUAGAUACCCUGGUAGUCCACACCGUAAACGAUGAAUGCCAGUCGUCGGGUAGCAUGCUAUUCGGUGACACACCUAACGGAUUAAGCAUUCCGCCU
rnacentral:rRNA from 1 species